rnacentral:rRNA from 1 species
ACGGAGGAUGCGAGCGUUAUCCGGAUUUAUUGGGUUUAAAGGGAGCGCAGACGGGGGAUUAAGUCAGUUGUGAAAGUUUGCGGCUCAACCGUAAAAUUGCAGUUGAUACUGGUCCUCUUGAGUGCAGUUGAGGCAGGCGGAAUUCGUGGUGUAGCGGUGAAAUGCUUAGAUAUCACGAAGAACCCCGAUUGCGAAGGCAGCUUGCUAAACUGUAACUGACGUUCAUGCUCGAAAGUGUGGGUAUCAAACAG